rnacentral:rRNA from 1 species
AUUGAACGCUGGCGGCAUGCCUUACACAUGCAAGUCGAACGGCAGCACGGGAGCAAUCCUGGUGGCGAGUGGCGAACGGGUGAGUAGUAUAUCGGAACGUGCCCAGUCGUGGGGGAUAACGCAGCGAAAGCUGUGCUAAUACCGCAUACGAUCUACGGAUGAAAGCGGGGGAUCGCAAGACCUAGCGCGAUUGGAGCGGCCGAUAUCAGAUUAGCUGGUUGGUGAGGUAAAGGCUCACCAAGGCGACGAUCUGUAGCUGGUCUGAGAGGACGACAAGCCACACUGGAACUGAGACACGGUCCAGACUCCUACGGGAGGCAGCAGUGGGGAAUUUUGGACAAUGGGCGAAAGCCUGAUCCAGCAAUGCCGCGUGCAGGAUGAAGGCCUUCGGGUUGUAAACUGCUUUUGUACGGAACGAAACGGUGAGCUCUAAUACAGUUUGCUAAUGACGGUACCGUAAGAAUAAGCACCGGCUAACUACGUGCCAGCAGCCGCGGUAA